CUGGAUUUACCUCACCACAGAAUAAUACAGAUGAUGAUAAUCAGCCAACCUUUGGACUUUUCAUCGAAUCAAGAUUUAUCUAUUAUCUAGAGAUAAAAACACUUGAUCUACAAAGAUGAUAGUCAAAUACUUGCAAGAGUGAAUAAACUUGUUCAGUGAAAGAUUGACUUACAUUAACAAAUUAUUAACUCGUGAAAAAGUUCAACAUUUUAGUUUUUAAUAAUUUUUAAACUCAAGUGAAAUAGCAAAACAACAUUUCAUUAAGGAUUUAAAACUGUGAUAAAUAGGCAAAGCGUGUUGGUAUUUUACAGUUCCUCAUAAGACUGCGUAACAUGUCUACCAUGAUGUCAGUGAGAUUUCUAAGGCAUUUUAAUGUCUUAAAAUCAACCAAAAUUGUGUACCCUCAUGUGCGAUUGAUGUCCGCUCAGGCUCAACCAUUGGAACAAAAGAAGGAAGAAGUGAAAAAGGAAAGGCCUCCAGAAACUAAUUCAUUUAUUAUGAGUAUGUUUUCUGGACAAGCUAAAGUGAAUCAAGUAUUUCCUUAUCCUGAUGUUUUGACUGAUGAUCAAUUGGAAACCUUGAAUAUGGUCCGUGAACCCAGUUUGAAGCUUUUCAAUGAACUUCACGACCCAUUAACUGCUGAGGAAAACGGUAAAGCAGAGGAUAAAACCAUGCAAAUGCUUAAAGAGAUGGGUUCAUUUGGUAUUAUGGUUCCGACACAAUAUGAAGGCGCUGGUAUGAAUAACACUCAAUAUGCUGUUUUGGCUGAAAUUAUGGGUCAAAGUGAUUUAGGAUUAGCUAUUACAUUAGGUGCUCACCAGUCAAUUGGUUAUAAGGGUAUUGUGCUUUAUGGUAAUGAAAAACAGAAAGACAAAUAUCUCCCUGAUUUAGCAACAGGUAGAAAAACUGCAUGUUUCUGCUUAACUGAACCUAGUUCUGGUUCAGAUGCCGGUUCCAUAAAAUCUAGAGCUGUUCUCUCUCACGAUGGGUCUCAUUAUAUACUCAACGGAAGCAAGAUUUGGAUAUCUAACGGUGGUUUCGCUGAUGUUUUUACUGUGUUUGCCAAAACUCCAGUUAUAACAUCAAGUGGGGAGGAAAAAGAAAAGGUUACAGCAUUCAUCGUUGAGAGAGCAUUCGGAGGAGUAACUAAUGGUCCACCUGAAAUGAAGAUGGGAAUCAAAACAUCAAAUACCGCUCAGGUUUAUUUUGAAAAUGUCAAAAUUCCAGUAGAGAAUGUGCUUGGCGAAGUUGGCAAUGGUUUUAAAGUUGCUAUGAAUAUUUUGAAUAGUGGACGAUUUGGAAUGGGUGCAUUGUUGAAUGGAACCAUGAAAUUUUGUAUUGCUAAAGCAACUGAUUUCGCAAAUAAUCGAGUACAAUUUGGAGAUAAAAUUGCCAGUUUUGGAACCAUUCAAGAGAAGAUUGCAAGAAUGGCAUUAGCCCAAUAUAUAAAUGAAUCGAUGACUUACAUGGUUGCUGGUAACAUGGAUAAAGGAUCAACAGAAUUCCAUUUAGAAGCAGCCAUUUCAAAAGUUUUUGCCUCAGAAGCUGCUUGGUUUGUUUGCGAUGAAACUAUUCAGAUUUUAGGAGGCAUGGGCUACAUGAGAGAAACUGGUGUUGAAAAGAUAAUGAGAGAUCUUCGUAUUUUCCGUAUAUUCGAAGGAACAAAUGAUAUCCUCAGAUUGUUUGUAGCCUUAACUGGAAUUCAAAAUGCUGGUUAUCACUUGAAAGAAUUACAAAAGGCUAUAAAAAAUCCUGUUGCUAACUUGGGAAUGAUUUUCGACGUAUCAACUAAAAGAGUAUUCCGGGCUGUUGGAUUGAGUUCAGGACCAUCUCUUACUGAAUUUGUCUCACCUGAAUUGGCUCCUUCAGCUGCUUUGGUAUCAAAAUCAGUGACAAACUUUGGAGCAACUGUUGAGCAUCUUUUAAUCAAAUACAACAAGAAAAUUAUUCACGAGCAAUUUUUACUCAAUCGCUUAGCUAACUCAGCGAUCGACAUUUAUUCAAUGAUUGUUACCCUUUCAAGAGCCACUCGCUCAGUCCAGAAAAAUUUCCCAUCUGCACCUCAUGAAGUAAAUAUGGUUAAAGUGAUUUGUAAUGAAGCAGCAUCUCGAGUUCAUCAAAACCUUGCUGCUUGUCGAAGUUCUGAAAAGUUAACCGACUUUAAUAAUCUAAAGAAAAUUUCAGAUUCUAUUUUUGUUAACAACGGAGUUUGGCAUCGCCACCCUAUCGAACGAGAUUAAAAAAAGAUAUUCCGAUCAAAGCAAAAAAUUGUAAAACUUUUAUGAUAUUUAUGAUAAAUUGUUUAUACUCUUGCCGUAAAAACCUGCUUAAUGCUUUAUGAAA